rnacentral:rRNA from 1 species
ACGGGUGCGGAACACGUACGUAACCUUCCUUUAAGUGGGAGAUAGCCCGAAGAAAUUCGGAUUAAUACCCCAUAAGAUUGUGGAGUGGCAUCACUCAGCAAUUAAAGAAAUUCGCUUAAAGAUGGGCGUGCGGCUGAUUAGGUAGUUGGUGAGGUAACGGCUCACCAAGCCAACGAUCAGUAACUGGCGUGAGAGCGCGACCAGUCACACGGGCACUGAGACACGGGCCCGACUCCUACGGGAGGCAGCAGUAAGGAAUAUUGGUCAAUGGACGCAAGUCUGAACCAGCCAUGCCGCGUGAAGGAUGAAGGUCCUCUGGAUUGUAAACUUCUUUUAUAUGGGAAGAAACCAUCUUUUUCUAAAGGUGUUGACGGUACCAUAGGAAUAAGCACCGGCUAACUCCGUGCCAGCAGCCGCGGUAAUACGGAGGGUGCAAGCGUUAUCCGGAUUCACUGGGUUUAAAGGGUGCGUAGGCGGAUUAGUAAGUCCGUGGUGAAAUCUCCGAGCUUAACUCGGAAACUGCCGUGGAUACUAUUAAUCUUGAAUACUGUGGAGGUUAGCGGAAUAUGUCAUGUAGCGGUGA